rnacentral:tRNA from 1 species
CCACCCGUAGCUCAGCUGGAUAGAGCAACGGACUUCUAAUCCGUAGGUCGGAGGUUCGAAUCCUCUCGGGUGGA